CUCCAAAGAGGGUUUAUGUCCUCCAGUUCCUAUGGAGAUCAAGUAAAUGGAAAGGAAAAAAACCACCUCGUGGACCUUCCUGGGUUCGGUGCAUAUAUCAGUCUCGCAAGCCUUUAAGGCUGGUAUGAACCAGGACAACAUAUAUAUUUCCAAAGGGAAUUACCAGAAGGUAGAUGAUGGUUGACACAAGCACUGUAGAGAAUCUGCCUAAGUAAGCAUCAGCUAUGAAUCCUCCCAACAGUGGCAUCAGAGUGGUAACACCGGACCAGUAAUUCACGCUCUUGACUGCUGUCUGAAGAUCUUGAUGAAGUACCUUGCUUAGGUAAAGGAUUAAGCUGGUUGCAAUUCCAAAGUAACUUAACCUCUCACUGAACUCGAUUGCUGCCCAGUGAUCAAACACAACCACAAAAUUUAGUUAAAAUUAAGAGCUUUCUUUUCCCCUAGCUUGGCAUGAAUAGAUCAAGAGAGAAAAAGUACUACUUUACAGUUACUACGUGUUUUACAAUUUACAUCAUCAUCUGCAUGCCCUCAAAAC